rnacentral:rRNA from 1 species
GAUCAUGGCUCAGGAUGAACGCUGGCGGCGUGCUUAACACAUGCAAGUCGAACGGGAAUUACUUUAUUGAAACUUCGGUCGAUUAAUUUAAUUCUAGUGGCGGACGGGUGAGUAACGCGUGGGUAACCUGCCUUGUACAGGGGGAGUAACAGUCAGAAAUGACUGCUAAUACCGCAUAAGCGCACAGGACCGCAUGGUCCGGUGUGAAAAACUCCGGUGGUAUAAGAUGGACCCGCGUUGGAUUAGCUUGUUGGUGGGG